rnacentral:rRNA from 1 species
UUUGUGUUUAAGGUGUGACUCAUGACUGGGGUUAAGUCGUAACAAGGUAACUGUACCGGAAGGUGCGGUUGGAUCACCUCCUUU